UACAGAGGGGGCAAGCGUUAUUCGGAAUUACUGGGCGUAAAGCGUGCGUAGGCGGUUAUCUAAGUCGGGUGUGAAAUCCCCGGGCUCAACCUGGGAAUUGCAUUCGAUACUGGAUAGCUAGAGUUCGGCAGAGGGAAGCGGAAUUUCGGGUGUAGCGGUGAAAUGCGUAGAUAUCCGAAGGAACAUCAGUGGCGAAAGCGGCUUCCUGGACCAGAACUGACGAUCAGGCACGAAAGCGUGGGGAGCAAACAGG
rnacentral:rRNA from 1 species